rnacentral:rRNA from 1 species
CCCUUAGAUGUUCUGGGCCGCACGCGCGCUACACUGAAUGGAUCAACGUGUUUUCCCUUCCCGAGAGGGACGGGUAACCCGCUGAACCCCAUUCGUGGUAGGGAUCGGAGCUUGCAAUUGUUCUCCGUGAACCAGGAAUUCCCAGUAAGCGCAAGUCAUAAGCUUGCGUUGAUUACGUCCCUGCCCUUUGUACACACCGCCCGUCGCACCUACCGAUUGAAUGGUCCGGUGAACCCUCCGGAUCGGCUCGCGCCAACGCAAGUUGAGCAAAGGCCGAGAAGUUGGGUAAACCUUACCAUUUAGAGGAAGGUGAAGUCGUAACA